rnacentral:rRNA from 1 species
CUUGCUUCUCUUGAGAGCGGCGGACGGGUGAGUAAUGCCUAGGAAUCUGCCUGGUAGUGGGGGAUAACGUUCGGAAACGGACGCUAAUACCGCAUACGUCCUACGGGAGAAAGCAGGGGACCUUCGGGCCUUGCGCUAUCAGAUGAGCCUAGGUCGGAUUAGCUAGUUGGUGGGGUAAUGGCUCACCAAGGCGACGAUCCGUAACUGGUCUGAGAGGAUGAUCAGUCACACUGGAACUGAGACACGGUCCAGACUCCUACGGGAGGCAGCAGUGGGGAAUAUUGGACAAUGGGCGAAAGCCUGAUCCAGCCAUGCCGCGUGUGUGAAGAAGGUCUUCGGAUUGUAAAGCACUUUAAGUUGGGAGGAAGGGUUGUAGAUUAAUACUCUGCAAUUUUGACGUUACCGACAGAAUAAGCACCGGCUAACUCUGUGCCAGCAGCCGCGGUAAUACAGAGGGUGCAAGCGUUAAUCGGAAUUACUGGGCGUAAAGCGCGCGUAGGUGGUUUGUUAAGUUGGAUGUGAAAUCCCCGGGCUCAACCUGGGAACUGCAUUCAAAACUGACUGACUAGAGUAUGGUAGAGGGUGGUGGAAUUUCCUGUGUAGCGGUGAAAUGCGUAGAUAUAGGAAGGAACACCAGUGGCGAAAGCGACCACCUGGACUAAUACUGACACUGAGGUGCGAAAGCGUGGGGAGCAAACAGGAUUAGAUACCCUGGUAGUCCACGCCGUAAAACGAUGUCAACUAGCCCGUUGGGAGCCUUGAGCUUUUAGUGGCGCAGCUAACGCAU